CCUGGCCUCAAGGGAUCCACCCACCUCGAAUUCCCAAAGUGCUGGGAUCACAGGUGUGAGCCACCGCGGACGACCUAUAAAAACUUUUAUCCCUUUCAUUUUCUCAUAGACUCCCGUUUAAGUUCUUGCUCUGUUUUGGGGGAAAGUGUUUAUUGUUUGAUUUUCUAAUAACGAAAACAUUAGAGUAGCUUCAUUUAUGCUGCCUGUUUCAAGCCAAUACACUGCUCAGUUGUGUUUGUGUAUUUGAAAAGUCCCCUGAUAGGAACUUUCUGAGGGGUGCCUGUGUUGUUGGCACAUUUGAGAACUAGACAAAAUCUAACUCUGUGUCUUUUUUCUUUCUUUUUCCCCUAUUAUUUGGUUUUGUUUUUUUAACAACCCCUCUGGAGUGUGUUUUGGUUCAUGGGAUCAGGCCACGUGCCCUGGUUUUCGAGGUAUAGCCUUGGCUUUCUUGGGUCGGGUCUAAUAACCCUGACCUUGGACUUCCCACGUGUCCUUCAAAGAAAGCAAUUAUUUUUGCCUAUUUUCUGAGUAUGAUGGUAUUCUCCAUUUGAUUUAACAAAAAAAUUCUUCCUCUGCUUUAAAAGACUGAAAGCCUCCCUGUAAGGUGCUGAUUGCCUUCCAGAUCUGAGGACCCCGUCUCUGCCUCAUUCCUCCUGUUUCCAUCAGAAGACACAGGUCUGGGACUCAGCGCAGCUGACCUGUCUGUCCCUCUCUGCACAGUUUACUCCUGGGCUCUGCAGAGAGAAGUCAGUGCCUCAAUUUUCCAUUGAAAUAUGCACCCUUGGCAUCCUGGCAGCUCACAAUUAUAGUUUCUAUGAUUUGAAUCAUCAGAAGAGCAAACUUGAUAAUCCUGGAAAUUUAGGAGACAUGAGGUCAUGGAAGGUCGUGGAAGGUCCUGAAGGUGAGUAUUCUGUCAGGAACGGUGUGUUCGCCUUCCUUAUGCUCCUGCUAAGCCCUCUCUCUAAAGUUGUGUAUUCUGCUCGAAAACUUCCCUUGCCAGAGGAUACUUUUCAUGAAUAAAUGCUCUCCAGUUCUUGUCAUUGCUAAGUACAGUUCUUGGGUUACUUUGCAUGUCUCUCCAAUAUCAAUUUGAUGGAGUGUCUUCGAGGAACUGGCAACGUGCCAAACACUAUAUGCAGGGAUUUGCCUACAUUCAAUCAUUUAAUCCUCCCAACAACACUGUGAGACUGACAAGAUUCUUAGCUCCCCUCCAUGGCUGAUGAAGUGGCAUCUCAGUGAACUGAAGGAAGUUGCUGGAAUUCCAACCUGUGCUGUCCAAUUACCAGGCCUAUGAUCUUGGCCCCUAAGCUAUCUUUGGGAGGGCCUGCCAGUGCUUGGAUUUCCUGUUUCUGUCUCUUUCCCUGCUGGCUGAAGUUAACAAUCAGUAUUUCACAGGGCCCUCUGAAAUUUCCUUCCCCUUCAAAUAUCAGCCUUAUGCUGGUACUGGGGAUACCCAGGGAGUGAGACGUGGUCUCCAGCUUAUAGAUGCUCGAAGUAAAAGAGGAGAUGGAACAAUUGUCACAGUUACCUAUUGCCACGGUGAUGCUGAGUAACAAACCACCUGUAACUCUGUGGCUUUAUUCUUGCUCUCUGUCUGCA
rnacentral:lncRNA from 1 species